rnacentral:rRNA from 1 species
UACGUAGGGCGCAAGCGUUGUCCGGAAUUAUUGGGCGUAAAGAGCUCGUAGGUGGCUUGUCACGUCGGGUGUGAAAGCUUGGGGCUUAACUCCAGGUCUGCAUUCGAUACGGGCUGGCUAGAGGUAGGUAGGGGAGAACGGAAUUCCUGGUGUAGCGGUGAAAUGCGCAGAUAUCAGGAGGAACACCGGUGGCGAAGGCGGUUCUCUGGGCCCUACCUGACGCUGAGGAGCGAAAGCGUGGGGAGCGAACAGG